AUUGAACGCUGGCGGCAGGCUUAACACAUGCAAGUCGAGCGGGGGAAGGUAGCUUGCUACUGGACCUGGCGGCGGACGGGUGAGUAAUGCUUAGGAAUCUGCCUAUUAGUGGGGGACAACAUCUCGAAAGGGAUGCUAAUACCGCAUACGUCCUACGGGAGAAAGCAGGGGAUCUUCGGACCUUGCGCUAAUAGAUGAGCCUAAGUCGGAUUAGCUAGUUGGUGGGGUAAAGGCCUACCAAGGCGACGAUCUGUAGCGGGUCUGAGAGGAUGAUCCGGCACACGUGUACUGAGACACGGCCCAAGCUCCUACGGGAGGCAGCAGUGGGGAAUAUUGGACAAUGGGGGGAACCCUGAUCCAGCCAUGCCGCGUGUGUGAAGAAGGCCUUAUGGUUGUAAAGCACUUUAAUCGAGGAGGAGGCUACUUUAGUUAAUACCUAGAGAUAGUGGACGUUACUCGCAGAAUAAGCACCGGCUAACUCUGUGCCAGCCGCCGCGGUAA
rnacentral:rRNA from 1 species